rnacentral:rRNA from 1 species
GGAAGAAACACCCCCUCGUGAGGGGGCUUGACGGUACCGUAAGAAUAAGGAUCGGCUAACUCCGUGCCAGCAGCCGCGGUAAUACGGAGGAUCCAAGCGUUAUCCGGAAUCAUUGGGUUUAAAGGGUCCGUAGGUGGAUAAUUAAGUCAGGGGUGAAAGUCUGCAGCUCAACUGUAGAAUUGCCUUUGAUACUGGUUAUCUUGAAUUAUUGUGAAGUGGUUAGAAUAUGUAGUGUAGCGGUGAAAUGCAUAGAUAUUACAUAGAAUACCGAUUGCGAAGGCAGAUCACUAACAAUAUAUUGACACUGAUGGACGAAAGCGUGGGUAGCGAACAGGAUUAGAUA